ensembl:lncRNA
GUGAGCCUUCGUUGAUUGAUGUGUACUAUGUACACGCACAGGUUCAAGGAUGCAGAAUGUGUCAUCAGAUUCCCGGGAAAUGGAUGUGUCAGGCACAUAGGUGCUGGGGAUCAAACUGAUCAUCUGCAAGAGCUGAAAUGUUCAAAUUUCUAUUCCCAUCCUUCCGCUGACUUAGUAUUACCUUCUCAGGAAGCAGCUCAAGUAUGAAGAAGACAAACUAACAAAAAUUAUCACCCCAAACUGUGGCUACCAGUUAAAUAACAGUGAAGAAUUCAAAAGGAAAGAUGAAUUUAUACGAGAACGUCUUGUCAAUGAAGCAUUCAUGUGGAACCUCUACAGGAACAGAAAGUCCACAGCAGGCCUCACAAAGAGAACUCUGGUAAGAUUAUCUCAACCAGCUGGUUCACCUGGAAGCUAGCUGAGUGGGAGAGCCACCUAACAUGAGGGCCUGGAAUAUAGGGGGUCUUCUUUAUGCUUAUAAACAUUGACAUUUUGGUCAAGGUAAGUUAUUUUCUUGUGAUAGAUUUUCCUAUGCCUUGUACAGUAACAGAAGCCUAGACUCCUGCCUAUCUGGUGUCAGUAGCAUUGCUCACAUCGAUUAUGUUUAAUUUUUCCUACAGUUACUUCUGUGUACCACAUGUGUGUCAGAUAUCCCUGGAGAGCAUAAAGAGGUGUCCUGUCCUCUAGGACUGUACUUAUAGAUGGCUGUUAGCUUCCAAAUGAUUGCUGGCACUCUGCAAGAGUAACACAUCCCCUUAGCCACUAAGCCCAUUCUCCAGUUCUAUAUUCUCUGAUGAUCAAACUAGGAACAUAUCAGCCACUUAUUUGGAACUGUCGGUAUAAUUCAUCUUGAAAGUGGUAAAAGAUUCUUCAGAACCUAGUAAAUAGUGGGCUCAACUUACUUUAAAAUUGUGACGUGUUUUGGUGUGGUGUUAGUGGUGGUGUGUGAGCAUGUAUGUGUGUGUGCAUGAGUGCAUGUGCACAUAUGUGUGUGUAUGUGUUUCUCUGUGUAUGCAUGUGCAUGCAAGCAUGCAUGUGUGCAUGUGUUUGUGUGUGUGUGUGUGUGUGUGUUGAGAGCUAGAAAAGAAACUAUAAAUCACGCCUAGAUUAAUAUUAACUGUCAAUUUUAUAACAUCUAGAACCAUCUGGGAAAGAGGUCUCUAAAGCAAGGCUAUGAAAUAAUUAAGUUGAAAUUACAGUACCUGAGGUGCUAGAGCACACAUUGUUGUUGAUGCCAUUCUCUGACUGGAAUGCUAAAUGGCUUACAUUGGAGAAGUAGUGAUGAGUACCAGGAGACAUUCACUCCCUGCUAUCUCUCUGCGUGUCUGAGUUUCUGACUGUGUCUCUCUGUGUCUCUGUGUGUAUCUUACUGUGAAUGCAAUAUAACAAGCAUCUUCAAGUCAUGCUGACUUGAUUCCUUGCCAUGAUGUGGGCAGGGAGGGAGGGAAAGAGCAAAGGAGGAAGAAAGAAAGGAAGAAAGGAAGAAAGGAAGGAAGGCAGCAAACCUUAACUAAGUUCGCAAUGACUAAAAACAAAACAAACAAAACAACAAAGAAAAUUAAAAAAACAAAAACAAAAACAAAAGCUAGGAAUGUCCAGUUUAAAAUGACAUCUUCCAUAUUAUUGCCUAGAAAUAAAACGCACUUGAGAUUGCUAUCAACAUUUUUAGAAGAUUUUACUUUUAAGUGUUCCAUGCGAGACACUACCAUGAUCAUUAAGAUAAAAUCCAUGCGUUUAGAGGUUUACUUUAUGGUACGCAACGGUGUGGUUUUCUGGUAUUUCCAUUAAUAUUGCUAGGGCUGAGCAGGGCGAAUCCGCGAACAUUCUCAGGAGAUGAAUCAGGGUUGCUCUUAAGUGACCUUCCAACACUUUCAGCUCUGCUGGAGGCUUCCUGUGGUCACGGCCACACUAACUCUGACACAU